UGUGAUACCGCAUGUUAUCGCGAGGUUUGGCUCAGAGUGUGAGAGGCUGCGAGAGCUGUGUGUGUUCAGAUGCGCAGAGAGCUGACUGAGCCACGUUUGUAGCAGCUGUGCCAAGUAGCCAGCGACAUAAGACUGCACGAAGCCGCAGAUGUAACCGUUUCAGACCUCCAAGAUGGCAGGCGGCCACGAGUUUUCACGGCGUUGCUAAGCCACAAUAAAGCGCCCGUUUGAAAGAAGCCGUGCCUGUGAUGUCGUCUUGGAGCCACA